UACGUAGGAGGCAAGCGUUGUCCGGAAUUACUGGGCGUAAAGCGCGUGUAGGUGGUGGGACAAGUCUGCUGUGAAAGCGCCUGGCUUAACCGGGCGAGGUCGGCGGAACUGUUUCACUUGAGGACGGUAGAGGGGGGUGGAAUUCCCGGUGUAGUGGUGAAAUGCGUAGAGAUCGGGAGGAACACCUGUGGCGAAGGCGGCCCCCUGGGCCGGCCCGUG
rnacentral:rRNA from 1 species